UCCCCGGUGGCGCAAUUGGCUAGCGCGUCUGACUGUUAUCGCAACUGUUAUCAGGAGGUUGAAAGUUCGAGCCUUUCCCGAGGAG
rnacentral:tRNA from 2 species